rnacentral:rRNA from 1 species
GCGGCAACAGCUCAAAUUUGAAAUCUGGCGCAAGCCCGAGUUGUAAUUUGUAGAGGAUGCUUCUGGGUAGCGGCCGGUCUAAGUUCCUUGGAACAGGACGUCAUAGAGGGUGAGAAUCCCGUAUGUGACUGGCUUGCACCCUCCACGUAGCUCCUUCGACGAGUCGAGUUGUUUGGGAAUGCAGCUCUAAAUGGGAGGUAAAUUUCUUCUAAAGCUAAAUACCGGCCAGAGACCGAUAGCGCACAAGUAGAGUGAUCGAAAGAUGAAAAGCACUUUGGAAAGAGAGUUAAAAAGCACGUGAAAUUGUUGAAAGGGAAGCGCCCGCAACCAGACUUUGCGGCAGUGUUCGGCCGGUCUUCUGACCGGUUUACUCGCUGUCGUGAGGCCAUCAUCGUCUGGGACCGCUGGAUAAGACCUUAGGAAUGUGGCUCCCUUCGGGGAGUGUUAUAGCCUCUGGUGAUGCAGCGCGUCUCGGGCGAGGUCCGCGCUUCGGCAAGGAUGAUGGCGUAAUGGUUGUCGGCGGCCCGUCUUGAAACACGGACCAAGGAGUCUAACAUCUAUGCGAGUGUUCGGGUGUCAAACCCCUACGCGUAAUGAAAGUGAACGGAGGUGGGAACUUUUUGUGCACCAUCGACCGAUCCUGAUGUCCUCGGAUGGAUUUGAGUAAGAGCAUAGCUGUUGGGACCCGAAAGAUGGUGAACUAUGCCUGAAUAGGGUGAAGCCAGAGGAAACUCUGGUGG